AAUUCCCAUUUGCAGAUUCAAGCUCAAUCCUGUGAGAAAUGAUAUAGUUUAUUCAUGUUAAGUUGUUGCAAUUAUAUCUCAGUAUAACAGAUCUCACGUGAUGUUGCACUCAACAACAUAACAAACCAUUGGUCCAUUGCUGUCCAAAUUCCAAACAAAGAAGUUCCUUGGCUUCAGACUACUAGAUCCAUACAUUUUUUUUUUCCAGCCAAUCUCCAUUUCCACUUUCUACUACUGUCCCUGGAUGAAUUUUGUACAAUUUUCUUACAGCCCCCUCCAUCACGACCUAUCAUCAUCUCUCUGUUACAUUAACUUUUUUAUUUUUUUUGCACAUUGGACAUGUUAUUUCAACACUGGAUUGCAAUUGAAAGCUAAAAUUCCUCACUUAAGUCACUCAUCAUUUUUGGUGCCAUGUUUUCUACCUGGGGUUGCCAGAAUUGUGUUUAUAACUUAUUCUUGUGUCUGAUUAACUUACCUCAAGCCAGAGUGGCUGGUUAGCUGGUUAGAUGGUUAAUUCCGUUGCUGGUUAGCUGGACAUCAAACUCUCACAAAGGGUAUUGCAACUUAGGUAAGGUAGAAAAGAGAGGAAAUAGAGAGGAAAAAAAAAGGAUUCUUGAGUAUAUUGAGAAAUACAGAUAGUACUAUCAAAAAUAAACUUGCAAUCCCAAUUCUUUGAUCCAUAGAAACUUUGCAUACUUCAAAGUAUUUCACACACUUCCUAAGCCAAACCCUAGGUUCUUUCUCAUCAAAAGCAACUAAUUCAAUUUUUGGCAAGAAUGGAUUCAUCCCUUCAACAAUACCAAUGUUACCAAUAUUGCUUUGAUCCUUUAUUUGUGAAUUAGGCAGAUUCUUAGGAACUGGCAGCAGACCUCUACUUUGAGCUUCCUUGGCUCCAUUAUCCUCAGUAGAAACCUCGUUAUUCUCGUCCUUUGCAAAUGCACUCAUGAAGGUUCUCCAAUCCUCCCUUAAUGCAUUGUUAUCAGCAAAAGGCUCAAUCCAAUUUCUCUUCCUUCACAUUAAAUCUUCCUUCCAUCAUAUUAAAUUUCCCAUCAACAUUCCCCUGCAUAGCCCUAAAUUUUUAUUCCAGUUCCGCAACCUAAACAUCUUGGGACUAACCACCACAGACCCCAUAGAUCUAGUCAUUGUUGCGACAGCAAUGCAUCCCUUACAGCAAAGCUCUGAUACCAAAUGUUAGGGGAGUUAACCCUAAGAGAGAAUUACAGAAGAAUUUAGAAGAGGAAAAAGAUUAGAAGAAGAAGAAGAAUAGAGAUAGAGAAGAUAGAAAGAGAGAGAGAAGAGAGAAUUGUAUUUCUUGAUAAUAGUUCCAGACUGCAAUUACAAGAAAUGAAUCGAGCUUUAUAUAACAGCUCAGUAACCAUCAACAGCUCAACAACUUUAUUAACCAACUUGUUACAACAGCUCAACAACUUUGGUAACUAACUAUUUCUCAUCUCCCGCCAAUCAUAACUUUACCACCUACUUUCUAAAACAACCCUAACUACUUACUACUUAUGUCUAUACUUUCUCAUCUGGUACGUGACAGGGGAUGGGGAAAACAAGAAACAUGAAUAGUAAGAUGCUCAAGUCUUGAUCGAUGGUCUGAAGUUUCUGACUUGAUUCUGAUAUUGGAUGCGUCAAAGAGUUCCACCACAAUUCACAACAACAAUAUUCAAUAUCAAAAGUGCACUGCUUCUCAGCUCCAAUGCAUAGCUACCUCCCCAUUCCAUUGUUUGUCUUCCUAAGUCUAUGGGGCUAAAAUCAGUCCAAAAUUCAACUAGAAAGAAAGAUCUGAAGAUUCUCAAAAUCAG
rnacentral:misc_RNA from 1 species